rnacentral:rRNA from 1 species
UACGAGAGGCCCAAACGUUUAUUCGGAUUUACUGGGCUUAAAGAGUUCGUAGGCGGCGCGGAAAGUAGGGUGUGAAAGCCCUCGGCCUCAACCGAGGAAUUGCGCUCUAAACUACCGUGCUCGAGGAAGCUAGAGGUGAGCGGAACUGAUGGUGGAGCGGUGAAAUGCGUUGAGUAUCAUCAGGAACACCGGAGGCGAAGGCGGCUCACUGGGGCUUUUCUGACGCUGAGGAGCGAAAGCGUGGGGAGCGAACGAGG